GAGCCCUGGUCUAAAGUAGUGCACUACAUAGGUCCCUAUGGAGCCCUGGUCUAAAGUAGUGCACUACAUAGGUCCCUAUGGAGCCCUGGUCUAAAGUAGUGCACUACAUAGGUCCCUAUGGAGCCCUGGUCUAAAGUAGUGCACUACAUAGGUCCCUAUGGAGCCCUGGUCUAAAGUAGUGCACUACAUAGGUCCCUAUGGAGCCCUGGUCUAAAGUAGUGCACUACAUAGGUCCCUAUGGAGCCCUGGUCUAAAGUAGUGCACUACAUAGGUCCCUAUGGAGCCCUGGUCUAAAGUAGUGCACUACAUAGGUCCCUAUGGAGCCCUGGUCUAAAGUAGUGCACUACAUAGGUCCCUACAGAGCCCUGGUCUAAAGUAGUGCACUACAUAGGUCCCUAUGGAGCCCUGGUCUAAAGUAGUGCACUACAUAGGUCCCUAUGGAGCCCUGGUCUAAAGUAGUGCACUACAUAGGUCCCUAUGGAGCCCUGGUCUAAAGUAGUGCACUACAUAGGUCCCUAUGGAGCCCUGGUCUAAAGUAGUGCACUACAUAGGUCCCUAUGGAGCCCUGGUUUCUGACAAUUUCACGGGCACUUCAUAUUAGUGACCCGGGACAAUGAGACGAAACGAGGCACGGCGAGGUUUGAUAAGCUCUGCAAAAUUAAACCUCUCUACCUCGACAUCAUUGAGGCCUGCAAUACUUAUUUUCAGCCUGCCCAGAACCUUUCCAUAGAUGAGAGGAUGGUAGCCUCAAAGGCCAGAAUCGGCCUAAAACACUACAUGCGUAACAAACCGACUAAAUGGGGUUACAAACUGUUUGUUUUGGCUGAUUCUGCGUGUGCAGACACGUGCAAUUUUUUUGUCUAUGAGGAUAAGAACAGUUGUGCGACCGGUAAGGGACUGAGCUACGACUCUGUUAUGCAGCUAUUAGAUUUUCAGCUGCUGGGGAAGGAAACUACAAACUUUUUGUUGAUAACUUUUACACAAGACCCUGUUUUCAGACCUGAGAAAGCCUGUGGGCCUGUGGAACCAUUCGGUCCAACAGAGUUUCCAAAAACCAGGGUGAACGACAUGCCUAAGCGGGCUGAGCGGGGUACCAUGAGAUGGAUCCGUGAAGAUGGCCUGCUGUUCGUGAAGUGGAUGGACACCAGAGAGGUGGUGAUGUGCUCCACUAUCCACAAGUGCUUCAGUGGCGAUCGUCAGACGUGUGAAGGCCGCUACUGGGGCAUGGACCACAAAAAAUGUCCCCAUCCCUGCUUCUGUGAAGGACUACAAUAAGAGCAUGGGAGGUGUCGACCUCUCCGAUGCGCUUAUAGGAUACUAUAAUGUUCUCCACAAAACCAUGAAAUGGUACAAGACAUUGUUCUACCAUUUCAUAGACAUUGCUGUGGUGAAUUCCUUCAUCCUCCAGAAGGAAAUGGCCAAGAGCUGUGGACAGCCCCCCAUCUCACAGCUGAUAUUCAGGG